rnacentral:rRNA from 1 species
GACGAACGCUGGCGGCGUGCCUAACACAUGCAAGUCAAGGGUGUAGCAAUACACACUGGCGAACGGGUGAGUAACGCGUAGGUAACCUGCCCUUAUCCCCGACACAACUCAGAGAAAUUUGAGCUAAUAUCGGAUGAGGCAUUUCGAUGUCAAAGGAGCGAUCUGGAUAAGGAGGGGCCUGCGUCCCAUCAGCUAGUUGGUAGGGUAAAGGCCUACCAAGGCAAAGACGGGUAGGGGGCCUGAGAGGGUGACCCCCCACACUGGCACUGAAACACGGGCCAGACACCUACGGGUGGCAGCAGUAGGGAAUAUUGCACAAUGGGCGAAAGCCUGAUGCAGCAACGCCGCGUGCGCGAUGACGGCCUUCGGGUUGUAAAGCGCUUUUCGGGGAGAUGAGGAAGGACAGUAUCCCCGGAAUAAGGCUCGGCUAACUACGUG